AAAACACACAUAGAGUGUGCGUGUGUGUAUAUACGAUCGAUGAGGGUGAGGUGAAACCCUAGUUUCAUCAAAAUCCAUCAAAUUGAAGGGGAUUGAAGGGCUAAACUAAUGCAUGAACCAAGAUUUUCGAUCACUUUAGCGUUUCUACCAUCAUGAACGUGUCAAGGAGAGGUCAAGCAUAGGAGGAUAACGGGUCAAGAUAAGGCAAGGUGACAAAUACACUUAUUGGAGUACUCGAGGUAAGUGAAUUUCGAUUCACUUUUUAGUAGGUUUAAUAGAUUUUAAUACUUAUGUUUACGAAACAUCAUGAAAGAACAUGUAAUAAUCAGAAGUACAAAGCCAAUAAUGCCUCAUUAUUGAAGAAGGUUGUAUUUAAGCCGAAAGUAAAUUGGUGGGUUUAAACGGGUCGAAUUUUAUAUGCAUAUGUUGCGUAAUGUAAUGAAAUUCGUUAUGGUUAAGACCUUGGGUAAGAAUUUUUAGUCAUUAUGUAAGGGGAACAUUUCCCGGACCAUUAGGAACAAGUUUUAUAUGAUUCGGUUGUCGGUUAGUGAAUGAACGGAUUGUUUCGUGUUAGUGUAGGAAAUUUUAUAAGUAUAUGUGUAUAGGAAUCCAAAGGGCACGUGGGUUGAAUCAUAGAUUGUCUAUACUAUGUAAAGUUGUGAAUGUGACAUUCCGGCAUAAACCUACAUGUAAAAGAAGCUUGUGUAUAUAUUCGUGAUUAAUUGAUUGUGCGUAGGAAGGAACAUUGGCAUGUAUGAAGGUACGCAUGUAUAUAUAUAUAAGUGUAUAUAUAUAUAUAUAUAUGUAUGUAUGAUAAUAAGUACGUAGGUGUGAAUGUAUGUGUGAAUGAAUGUUCAAUGCUUAAGACAUAUGCAUGAACGUUAUCAAAGUGUUCGAGUAUUUAUGGUUACUAAUGAUGUGCGUUGAGUUGGAAUGUAAUGUAGGUAUGGGAUCGUUGGCUUCAUGAAGAAAUGGAGCUGGAUUUGGAUAAGAGUAUUUAAGAAAGCGCUUGGACAAUUCCACGACUACUUUAUAGAAUGCUCUACGAAAUUCUAUUGUAUAGUUUAAUGUUGUAUGGUAUGUUAAUGACUAAUGGUUUGGUUGUACGUGGUGUCCACAGGUAUCGCUUGGGUUUUCUCUACAUUUAUUGAAGUGAAGCGGACUUAGUUCGAGUUGAGAGCAAGGAUUGUACGGGGUAGAAUGGUCACAUAGUGUAACUCAUAUAGGUUUUGAAGUAUUAAUGUUAUAAAACGUUAUAAAUCCGUUUUAAUGAAUAUAUGGCAUUUCGCGUUUGAACCUUCAUGUGUUUGAUAUGUCUAUUAAAGAAUGAAAUUUUUGGGCUCUUGUUUUCCGCUGCGUCGUAUUUUAAGUUAUUACGCGUUAGUCUUACAGGGAAUUGUUCUUAUUACGAACGGGUCAUGCCCGAAUUUUGUUAAAUAAUAGUAUGAUAAUAUUACAUUUUGGAAUGUGUAAUUUGGGCGUUACAAGUUGGUAUCAGAGCCCUGGUUUGAGGGAAAUCAAGUAUGAGGAGGCAAAUACUUGAACUCAAACCUGUGUGCUCUUGUGACGAGGAACCCGUACAAUCCAAGACUCGAUCAAGAUCUAAAGGUAGAAGCAAAUGUAAGUAUGAAUUUAAGUAUGUUUAUGAAGAAACUAACAUUAUGGUGUGUGUAAGAUAAGCAUAGUUGUUUGGAUGAGGAUGAUCCACGACUGUGGUCUCGGACUGACACCAAGGCAUGUAAUAAGACCAUUGCCCAGGUCAGUGAAAGAAUGUUCAUAAGCGAAAGCUCGUCACACGCAUGAACGAGGUCAAUACGAAACAUGGUAUGGAUGGGGACGAAGAGGACCGACUCGUUGCUGCAUGUUAAAGUACUGCACCAAGGUAGUAAGGUUAGCAAAUUAUUUAAUAUAUGAAGGUACGAUGCUCGAAUCCCUCAAACCUACGCUCUCGUGAAAGUGUGUUCGUUUCUAAGCGCCACGCAAGUAAGUGAUUUAAGGAUUUCGAGCUAUGCUUUUAGAUGAAAACGGAAAUGGGUUAUGGAUAAAUUACUAUUAUAACCUGGGUUGGGACGUUAUGGGAUGUUAGGGAAGGUUUCGGGACUGCCCGAGACCAUUUCUGGUUGGAAAAAGGACCCGGGAACAAAAAAUUUUGGUCAAACAGCGUCUGCACACCAGAGAGCCCGGCCGUCGCCGACGGCACCCCUCCACCUGACGCGCUAACUGUCUGUCUACGGGCAAUGUUUAGCGACGGGACCUUCCCGAGCCCGUCGGCGACGCACCAUGUGCCGUCGGCGACGGGUCCCCCUUAUCUGCUUAUGCUGAAAUUGUUUGCUUAUUAGGCUAAGGUCCUUAAUUCAGUUCUAGCAUUCAUUAAACAUUAGGAACACCCCAAGUUGAUUAUGAAGCUAAGAAAUUCAAGACAACUAUCAUGUUUUAAUGAUGUACGUGCGGGAAGUUUUGUAUGCGAAUGAAUGAAAUAAGUAACACGUCUAGAAGGUUUGUAAAGAAAGAUUGGAUGAGUUUAUGAAAAUUUUACACUAUCAUUGAAAAAGUACCUCCAUAUGAAUAGGUAUGAUAUGUUUAAUAUGUACGAAUGAACGAGAUUGUAUGCGGAAAUGAAUAAAUUAAUGAUGACUAGGGAUUGGUUUUCGCAAGGAAGUUUGAAAUCUUGAUAAGUAUGAAUAAUAUAUCAGGAUGCUAGUUUCAAAUUAUGGACUAUGGGAUCUGUGAUUAGGCAAAUUCUCACAACAUGCUUAUGUAAGUCGUCCAAUGUAACUUGAAUGAGUGAGGGAACGAAGAAUAAAACUAGACGGGUUGUAGAAGAAAAGAAAGAGGUUUCGGGGACGAAACCUUCUUUAAGGGGGGUAGAUUUGUAACACCCCAAAUUCCAUGAGAAAUUUAAUUUAAGCUAGUUAUGAACAAGUAAGGAUAGUCUUGGUCUUAAUAAUAUACAUAUUAUUCUUGAGGGGCCAAAGUGUAAAGUGGCAAAACUUAAAACAUUAAAAGUAUAAAAAAAUUAAAAACACACAUAGAGUGUGCGUGUGUGUAUAUACGAUCGAUCAGGGACAGAGGGUGAGGUGAAACCCUAGUUUCACCAAAAUCCAUCAAAUUGAAGGGGGAUUGAAGGGCUAAACUAAUGCAUGAACCAAGAUUUUCGAUCACUUUAGCGUUUCUACCAUCAUGAACGUGUCAAGGAGAGGUCAAGCAUAGGAGGAUAACAGGUCAAGAUAGGCAAGGUGACAAAUACACUUAUUGGAGUACUCGAGGUAAGUGAAUUUCGAUUCACUUUUUAGUAGGUUUAAUAGAUUUUAAUACUUAUGUUUACGAAACAUCAUGAAAGAACAUGUAAUAAUCAGAAGUACAAAGCCAAUAAUGCCUCAUUAUUGAAGAAGGUUGUAUUUAAGCCGAAAGUAAAUUGGUGGUUUUAAACGGGUCGAAUUUUAUGUGCAUAUGUUGCGUAAUGUAAUGAAAUUCGUUAUGGUUAAGACCUUGGGUAAGAAUUUUUAGUCAUUAUGUAAGGGGAACAUUUCAUGGACCAUUAGGAACAAGUUUUAUAUGAUUCGGUUGUCGGUUAGUGAAUGAACGGAUUGUUUCGUGUUAGUGUAGGAAAUUUUAUAAGUAUAUGUGUAUAGGAAUCCAAAGGGCACGUGGGUUGAAUCAUAGAUUGUCUAUACUAUGUAAAGUUGUGAAUGUGACAUUCCGGCAUAAACCUACAUGUAAAAGAAGCUUGUGUAUAUAUUCGUGAUUAAUUGAUUGUGCGUAGGAAGGAACAUUGGCAUGUAUGAAGGUACGCAUGUAUAUAUAUAUAAGUGUAUAUAUAUAUAUGUAUGUAUGUAUGAUAAUAAGUACGUAGGUGUGAAUGUAUGUGUGAAUGAAUGUUCAAUGCUUAAGACAUAUGCAUGAACGUUAUCAAAGUGUUCGAGUAUUUAUGGUUACUAAUGAUGUGCGUUGAGUUGGAAUGUAAUGUAGGUAUGGGAUCGUUGGCUUCAUGAAGAAAUGGAGCUGGAUUUGGAUAAGAGUAUUUAAGAAAGCGCUUGGACAAUUCCACGACUACUUUAUAGAAUGCUCUACGAAAUUCUAUUAUAUAGUUUAAUGUUGUAUGGUAUGUUAAUGACUAAUGGUUUGGUUGUACGUGGUGUCCACAGGUAUCGCUUGGGUUUUCUCUACAUUUAUUGAAGUGAAGCGGACUUAGUUCGAGUUGAGAGCAAGGAUUGUACGGGGUAGAAUGGUCACAUAGUGUAACUCAUAUAGGUUUUGAAGUAUUAAUGUUAUAAAACGUUAUAAAUCCGUUUUAAUGAAUAUAUGGCAUUUCGCAUUUGAACCUUCAUGUGUUUGAUAUGUCUAUUAAAGAACGAAAUUUUUGGGCU